GACGAAGGAUGCAAGCGUUAUCCGGAUUCAUUGGGUUUAAAGGGAGCGUAGGUGGCCUUAUAAGUCAGUGGUGAAAUCUCUGGGCUUAACCCAGAAAUUGCCAUUGAUACUGUAGGGCUUGAGUAUAGUUGCCGUUGGCGGAAUAUGACAUGUAGUGGUGAAAUACAUAGAGAUGUCAUAGAACACCGAUUGCGAAGGCAGCUGACGAAACUAUAACUGACACUGAGGCUC
rnacentral:rRNA from 1 species